ACAAAUUAGAGUGCUCAAAGCAGGCUAAAAUUACGCCUGAAUACUGUGUGCAUGGAAUAAUGGAACAGGACCUCGGUUCUAUUUUGUUGGUUUUCGGAACCCCGAGGUAAUGAUUAAUAGGGACAGAUGGGGGCAUUCGUAUUGCGACGUUAGAGGUGAAAUUCUUGGAUCGUCGCAAGACGGACAGAAGCGAAAGCAUUUGCCAAAAAUGUUUUCAUUAAUCAAGAACGAAAGUCAGAGGUUCGAAGGCGAUCAGAUACCGCCCUAGUUCUGACCAUAAACGAUGCCAGCUAGCGAUCCGCCGACGUUCCUCCGAUGACUCGGCGGGCAGCUUCCGGGAAACCAAAGCUUUUGGGUUCCGGGGGAAGUAUGGUUGCAAAGCUGAAACUUAAAGGAAUUGACGGAAGGGCACCACCAGGAGUGGAGCCUGCGGCUUAAUUUGACUCAACACGGGAAACCUCACCAGGCCCGGACACCGGAAGGAUUGACAGAUUGAGAGCUCUUUCUUGAUUCGGUGGGUGGUGGUGCAUGGCCGUUCUUAGUUGGUGGA
rnacentral:rRNA from 1 species